rnacentral:rRNA from 1 species
CCACAAUGGGGGAAACCCUGAUGGAGCGACGCCGCGUGCGGGAUGAAGGCCCUAUGGGUUGUAAACCGCUGUUCAGUGGAAAGAACAUCCUCCGGCUGAAUAGGUCGGAGGCCUGACGUUACCACUGCAGAAAGUCCCGGCCAACUCCGUGCCAGCAGCCGCGGUAAGUACGGGGGGGACGAGCGUUGUCCGGAAUC